UAUGGNGACACUGUAACGAAAGGUGCUAAUACCGGAUAAGAAAGCAGAUCGCAUGAUCAGCUUUUAAAAGGCGGCGUAAGCUGUCGCUAUGGGAUGGCCCCGCGGUGCAUUAGCUAGUUGGUAAGGUAAAGGCUUACCAAGGCGAUGAUGCAUAGCCGAGUUGAGAGACUGAUCGGCCACAUUGGGACUGAGACACGGCCCAAACUCCUACGGGAGGCAGCAGGA
rnacentral:rRNA from 1 species